CUGACAUAAGUAACGAUAAAGCGGGUGAAAAGCCCGCUCGCCGGAAGACCAAGGGUUCCUGUCCAACGUUAAUCGGGGCAGGGUGAGUCGACCCCUAAGGCGAGGCCGAAAGGCGUAGUCGAUGGGAAACGGGUUAAUAUUCCCGUACUUGGUGUUACUGCGAAGGGGGGACGGAGAAGGCUAUGUUGGCCGGGCGACGGUUGUCCCGGUUUAAGCGUGUAGGUGUGUGUUCCAGGUAAAUCCGGUUCACUUUAACACUGAGGCGUGACGACGAGGCACUACGGUGCUGAAGCAACAAAUGCCCUGCUUCCAGGAAAAGCCUCUAAGCAUCAGGUAACAUCAAAUCGUACCCCAAACCGACACAGGUGGUCAGGUAGAGAAUACCAAGGCGCUUGAGAGAACUCGGGUGAAGGAACUAGGCAAAAUGGUGCCGUAACUUCGGGAGAAGGCACGCUGACACGUAGGUGAAGUGAUUUACUCAUGGAGCUGAAGUCAGUCGAAGAUACCAGCUGGCUGCAACUGUUUAUUAAAAACACAGCACUGUGCAAACACGAAAGUGGACGUAUACGGUGUGACGCCUGCCCGGUGCCGGAAGGUUAAUUGAUGGGGUCAGCGCAAGCGAAGCUCCUGAUCGAAGCCCCGGUAAACGGCGGCCGUAACUAUAACGGUCCUAAGGUAGCGAAAUUCCUUGUCGGGUAAGUUCCGACCUGCACGAAUGGCGUAAUGAUGGCCAGGCUGUCUCCACCCGAGACUCAGUGAAAUUGAACUCGCUGUGAAGAUGCAGUGUACCCGCGGCAAGACGGAAAGACCCCGUGAACCUUUACUAUAGCUUGACACUGAACAUUGAGCCUUGAUGUGUAGGAUAGGUGGGAGGCUUUGAAGUGUGGACGCCAGUCUGCAUGGAGCCGACCUUGAAAUACCACCCUUUAAUGUUUGAUGUUCUAACGUGGACCCGUUACCCGGGUUGCGGACAGUGUCUGGUGGGUAGUUUGACUGGGGCGGUCUCCUCCUAAAGAGUAACGGAGGAGCACGAAGGUUGGCUAAUCCUGGUCGGACAUCAGGAGGUUAGUGCAAUGGCAUAAGCCAGCUUGACUGCGAGCGUGACGGCGCGAGCAGGUGCGAAAGCAGGUCAUAGUGAUCCGGUGGUUCUGAAUGGAAGGGCCAUCGCUCAACGGAUAAAAGGUACUCCGGGGAUAACAGGCUGAUACCGCCCAAGAGUUCAUAUCGACGGCGGUGUUUGGCACCUCGAUGUCGGCUCAUCACAUCCUGGGGCUGAAGUAGGUCCCAAGGGUAUGGCUGUUCGCCAUUUAAAGUGGUACGCGAGCUGGGUUUAGAACGUCGUGAGACAGUUCGGUCCCUAUCUGCCGUGGGCGCUGGAGAACUGAGGG
rnacentral:rRNA from 1 species